rnacentral:rRNA from 1 species
UACGUAGGGCGCGAGCGUUGUCCGGAAUUAUUGGGCGUAAAGAGCUCGUAGGUGGCUUGUUGCGUCUGCCGUGAAAGCCCGUGGCUUAACUACGGGUCUGCGGUGGAUACGGGCAGGCUAGAGGCUGGUAGGGGCAAGCGGAAUUCCUGGUGUAGCGGUGAAAUGCGCAGAUAUCAGGAGGAACACCGGUGGCGAAGGCGGCUUGCUGGGCCAGUUCUGAUGCUGAGGAGCGAAAGCGUGGGGAGCGAACAGG